rnacentral:lncRNA from 1 species
AAAAGACAAAGAAAAGCCAGUGGAUUCAGAAAGAAACGAGCAGAUGCUCUGGAAAUUGAGAACAGAGUUCUUCAGGAACAACUAAAACAGGCUUUACAGGAAGCAGAAAGAAGUAAGCUUCAACUUGACUAUUUCCUAAAUCAAGGGGUGGAGCUUAUUAAAAGUGAAGGGAAGACCAAAACAAUGGAAACAGG